GUGGGGAAUAUUGGACAAUGGGCGAAAGCCUGAUCCAGCCAUGCCGCGUGUGUGAAGAAGGUCUUCGGAUUGUAAAGCACUUUAAGUUGGGAGGAAGGGCAGUAAGUUAAUACCUUGCUGUUUUGACGUUACCGACAGAAUAAGCACCGGCUAACUUCGUGCCAGCAGCCGCGGUAAUACGAAGGGUGCAAGCGUUAAUCGUAAUUACUGGGCGUAAAGCGCGCGUAGGUGGUUUUGUAAGUUGGAGGUGAAAUCCCCGGGCUCAACCUGGGAACUGCCUCCAAAACUGAAUGACUAGAGUACGGUAGAGGGUAGUGGAAUUUCCUGUGUAGCGGUGAAAUGCGUAGAUAUAGGAAGGAACACCAGUGGCGAAGGCGACUACCUGGACUGAUACUGACACUGAGGUGCGAAAGCGUGGGGAGCAAACAGGAUUAGAAACCCCUGUAGUCC
rnacentral:rRNA from 1 species